rnacentral:rRNA from 1 species
UAUGUGAUCGUCUCUCGCAUAUCAAUAAGCGGAGGAAAAGAAACUAACAAGGAUUCCCCUAGUAACGGCGAGUGAAGCGGGAAGAGCUCAAAUUUGAAAUCUUAAAGGGUUUCCCUUUACGAAUUGUAGUUUAAAGAAGUGUUUUCUGUUGAGGUUUUGGUAAAAGUUCUUUGGAAUAGGACAUCAUAGAGGGUGAGAAUCCCGUAUUUGACCUUUACUUUCAACUUUGUGAUACACCUUCAAAGAGUCGGAUUGUUUGGGAAUGCAGUCCAAAAUGGGUGGUAAAUUUCAUCUAAAGCUAAAUAUUGGCGAGAGACCGAUAGCGAACAAGUACCGUGAGGGAAAGAUGAAAAGAACUUUGAAAAGAGAGUUAAACAGUACGUGAAAUUGUCAAAAGGGAAGCGUUUGACACCAGUGUUGUUUUUCUGAAAAUCAAUUAAAGAACUGUUUAUGCUAAGUUGUUUAGACUUUAUCAGCUAACUGUUUAGUUUUGAGCUUUUCUUUAAUGCACUUUUCAGUUAACAAGUCAACAUCAAUUUCUUUUGCUGUAAAAAAGCUUGAGGAAGGUGGCUUGAGAUUCGUCUUAAGUGUUUAUAGCCUCUUGCCUAUGCAGUCGGAGAGAUUGAGGUCUGCAGCGUAGAUCCUUCGGGGCUAAAUGCAUUUGUGCUAAGUUAUAGCAUUUUAUAGACAACUUGUUGACUAUGAUUUGUCUUGUAGCUUACUCGCUUAUGUUAUUUUACCUACGCUUAGGAUGUUGACGCGCGUGUGUGCGUG